GAUGAACGCUGGCGGCGUGCCUAAUACAUGCGAGUCGAGCGAACAGACAAGGAGCUUGCUCCUCUGACGUUAGCGGCGGACGGGUGAGUAACACGUGGAUAACCUACCUAUAAGACUGGGAUAACUUCGGGAAACCGGAGCUAAUACCGGAUAAUAUAUUGAACCGCAUGGUUCAAUAGUGAAAGACGGUUUUGCUGUCACUUAUAGAUGGAUCCGCGCCGCAUUAGCUAGUUGGUAAGGUAACGGCUUACCAAGGCAACGAUGCGUAGCCGACCUGAGAGGGUGAUCGGCCACACUGGAACUGAGACACGGUCCAGACUCCUACGGGAGGCAGCAGUAGGGAAUCUUCCGCAAUGGGCGAAAGCCUGACGGAGCAACGCCGCGUGAGUGAUGAAGGUCUUCGGAUCGUAAAACUCUGUUAUUAGGGAAGAACAAAUGUGUAAGUAACUAUGCACGUCUUGACGGUACCUAAUCAGAAAGCCACGGCUAACUACGUG
rnacentral:rRNA from 1 species